AGCCCUGAGGUGUUUCACGUCAAAAUGCAAGUUUGAAGAAGGACCCAGGCGAGUCCCGGGGCUU
rnacentral:tRNA from 3 species